UUAAUUAUUUCUUUAACCCAUCCAUCCGUUCUCUCAGUUAUCCAUUCUGUUCAUCCAUUGACCCAUUUACCUACAGUGGUUAACUACAGUGAAACAGAAGACAUUUCCAGACAAUAAAUCUGUCAUAUGUCCUUAAGGUUUAUCCACCUGCAUAUGAAUAACUGUGAUGAACAUGGAAGAACUGAAGCAGAAGGAGAAAGGAAGGAGAAGGGUCAGGUACGGCUCUUGUGGACAAUGAAGGCAUUGAGAGUCAGCAGUCCUGAGACUUAGAGCUCCAACUGGAUGCCAAAUCCUAGAGAAACAAGAGCUGAUCACUUGCCACGAUGGUGCAGGGAGCUGUGGUCUCAACCCUUGGAAACAUCAUCAAAAUAAGCUGUUUGGUGCAAAAUGCAUUCCAUGUGUUGGCUCUGC
rnacentral:lncRNA from 1 species